GGCGAUUCUUCCACGGCGCUCGAAGCGCGUCGUGGUAUUUCGCGUAUUGUAAUUUCAACACGAGCGGGGUCAAAUCCUUUGCAGACGACUUAGCUGUGCGAAACGGUCCUGUAAGCAGUAGAGUAGCCUUGUUGUUACGAUCUGCUGAGGGUAAGCCGUCCUUCGCCUCGAUUUCCCCAAUGGGUUCUCCGGAUUUCUGGAGACUUGUAGGGGUUGUGGGUUUUUUUCGAUGUGUCGUCUCCGGACGGGCGGUGCAGGGUAGUCGAGUUAGACUUGGUGGAAUUCGAUUCCGUCGAGUCUGGCUGGCACGAUCGUGUGCGGUUGUGUGUUGGACGGUGCAGGGUAGGCUGCUUGGACAUGGUCGGUUCGAGGAUCGAUUCGAGGGCCGGCCUGUCGAUGAUGUGUGAUGUGUGCCGUGUAGGGUAGGCUGCUUUGUCUUGGUCCAAUUU
rnacentral:misc_RNA from 1 species